AGCUGACGUAGUUCUAGACGUG
rnacentral:miRNA from 1 species